UCCUGCCAAUUUGAUAGCAGGUAACCUUGUGAAGAUGCUUGUUAAGCUGCAAGGAGUUAAGGUAUAUCAAUUCAGUUAUUGUAAGGAUACUUUCAAUAGGUGGAUUUAUUGUAGUAGUAAUAUUGCGAUAGAAGUGAGAAACUCACAACGAUAACUUAACGUGCUUAUUAUAUACGCUCAUAAAAACAUAAUUCUCUUGGUGGUAAUAAUAGACGCUCUCUGUGAGAGAAUAAUCUUAUAUGUUAGAUGUAGGGAUAUAUUUAACCUCUAUAAGAAAAUCCAAAUAAUGCCAUUGGUCGUGAACUUGAGAAAUCAAGGUAUAACAAGAGUUUAUAGUACGAGUAGCCAAAGACUAGAAUCAAUUCUUGAAUAUAUCUAAAGGGUAGAUAUGAUUAAAUAAACUAAUUCUGAAAAACUGGUGAAAGUUAGAGGUAGUCAAUCCUCUUCAAGUAUUAGUGUUUCGUCGCUAUGUAAAAUAUAGGGCAAGAAGCAUUAAGGUCGCUCCUUAAUGCUCAGACUUGUCUUCUUGGUGGUUGAAUAUAUGUGAAGUAUGUAAUCGGUAAGGUGAAGACCUACCUACUAUUCUAUUUAAUU
rnacentral:ncRNA from 1 species